GCAAGUUCUGGUGUCAGCCGCCGCGGUAAAACCAGCACCUCAAGUGGUCAGGAUGAUUAUUGGGCCUAAAGCAUCCGUAGCCGGUUCUGUAAGUUUUCGGUUAAAUCUGUACGCUCAACGUACAGGCUGCCGGGAAUACUGCAAAGCUAGGGAGUGGGAGAGGUAGACGGUACUCGGUAGGAAGGGGUAAAAUCCUUUGAUCUAUUGAUGACCACCUGUGGCGAAGGCGGUCUACCAGAACACGUCCGACGGUGAGGGAUGAAAGCUGGGGGAGCAAACCGGAUUAGAUACCCGGGUAGUCCCAGCUGUAAACUAUGCAAACUCAGUGAUGCAUUGGCUUGUGGCCAAUGCAGUGCUGCAGGGAAGCCGUUAAGUUUGCCGCCUGGGAAGUACGUACGCAAGUAU
rnacentral:rRNA from 1 species